CUCUCUCUCUCUCUCUCUCUCUCUCUCUCUCUCUACCCAUCACUCCCUUCCUCUCUCUGCUCUCUUGCUUGACGACGUGGUAAGACCGAAAACUGGCCGUUGCGGGCGGCGAUGGUCCCAGGGGACCCUAAAACCCAUCUCUUUGAUUCCAAAAUCCCAAGAACCCGACCCCCUCUCUCCUCCUUGCCAUCUUUCCCUUUCUCCCUCUCUUCCAUUUUCCAGGUGGACUGACAGCCAGACAGUCGUCCACAGUCAUAGGUGGUCCAACAGGACCAUGGGAUCGUGUUCCCUAGGUCUCAAAACUAAAAACUCUGAUUCUUUUGUGCUUUGGUUGGUCAUGAAUCGAAGAUGUGUGAUUAGGUCACCGACGGAUCUGUAGUUAGUUUUAGAGGAUCUACACCAUUGGGUUCGUCAUCAGGGGGUACGAUUAGGUCACCAAGGGCGAUCUUUAGUGGCGGUGGUAGCGGUAGUGAUGGUUGUGGUGGUGUGGUGGUGGUUCUGGAGAAGAUGAAGAAGGACAAGGAAGAUAGGUUAGGGUUUUAGAUAAAAAAAAAAAAGAAAGAGAAAGAAAAAAAAAAGAAAAAAUAUAUAUUUUUUAUUAUUAUUAUUUUAUUUUUUAUAAUUUUUAAAUUAUUUUUUAUAAUAUUUAAAUAACUAAUAUUACGUGGACCACUAAAAAUUUGUAGAUAACUCUAUGAAAAUAGAGUUAUUUAGCUUUUUUUGUCCAUUAAAUUAAUUUUGUUCUCAAGCAUUUUUAGUUUAUUUUAGUGACUUUUUAAUUAUUUUAUUUAAUUUUCCAUAAAUAUUAGUUAUAGUAUUUUUAGAUUAAUUAUAGUUAAUUUUUGUAAUAUUUUAUCAAUUUUAUUUAGUUUCUCAUGUUAAAAGUAUUAUUCUUAAUAUUGUGUAUUUUUAUAGGAGCUUAAAUAUAAUUUGGACUUUAUUA